rnacentral:rRNA from 1 species
CAGUAGCCGCGGUAAUACGUAGGUGGCAAGCGUUGUCCGGAAUUAUUGGGCGUAAAGGGCUCGCAGGCGGUUUCUUAAGUCUGAUGUGAAAGCCCACGGCCCAACCGGGGAGGGUCAUUGGAAACUGGGAAACUUGAGUGCAGAAGAGGAGAGUGGAAUUCCACGUGUAGCGGUGAAAUGCGUAGAGAUGUGGAGGAACACCAGUGGCGAAGGCGACUCUCUGGCCUGUAACUGACGCUGAGGAGCGAAAGCGUGGGGAGCGAACAGGAUUAGAUACCCCAGUAGUCCCUGUCUCUUAUAC